rnacentral:tRNA from 1 species
GGAGGGGCCCUGGCUCAGUGGUAGAGUCUGUGCUUUGCAUGCAAGAGGUCAAAGGUUCGAUUCCCAGCAUCUCCA